CUGGGAAGUCACCUGGACUACCUGGUGUCUCCCACCUAAGAAAUAAAAUAGGACUUUGUUCCCAAGAGGAGAAGAGCGCCUUUGUCUUUUGCCUUUGUCCUGUGAGAAGCCAACCUUUCCUGAUGAAAGAGAAAGCUGUUUGGAAACAAAAAAAAGCAGAUCAAAGAAGAGAGCAGCUCAGUGAUGGAACAUGUCACCUAGAGGAGGGGGUGAAAGCUAAUGUACUGCUGAUUGAAGAAGCCAUUUUUGUUCAACUCCAUGUGCACAAGAUAAAAAGCAGAACUCACUUUA